CAGAGCUUGUCACAGACUACCUUCUCCUGCGGUGCAGUGAAGAUUGCGCAGCAGAAUAUUCUAUCAACGUUGGAUCUUUUACCAAGAAGCCUUGUUGCACAUGACAAUGUGUUGUUUUUUAGGGGCUAGACGGACGUGUUUGACCAUCUCUUUUGCAUUGUCUCUAAAAACGUGGCGUUCAACUUAAAAGUAGUUCAAGUAACUAUUUUAAUAUUUGUUUUUCCCACUGCCCUGGGUCUCGCGUUUUUGCAUUAACUUGAGCUGCGUUGGAAAAAAGCUCUUUAGGAGUUUGCUGUUUAUAUUAUUAGUAUAAUAUUAUAAUAUUAUAAUAUUAUAUUAAUCUACUGUUAGUAUAACCAAUACCAUACAAAUGUUUAUUUUAAACAAACUUUUGGUUGAUUUUUUUCCCCUUUCUGUAGAUGAGAAAGCUGCAGAGAGAAAAAAUCAGACUCAUUACUAUCCUGGCAAAGUGAAUUUGGAGUCAUUUUUGAAGGAUUUUUUUUUCAAUCGAACAAUUUCUUUACCCAGUUGUGUCCUCUUCAUCCAUUCUAGUUUUCCCAUAGAAGGUUGAGAUGAUGGAGUUUGGCUGCACUGACCAUUUCAUGAAAUCCUACUAUGAGACAUUUAUGUUGUGUGGGACUUUGUUUACUAAUUACAUCGAGCACUGGAUGAUAACUAGGAUGACCGAAUCUGAACCAGUCAAAUAACAUAUUAAUUUCUUGCAUUCCCAUAGAAUACAAAAUGUAUUCACAUUUUGUAUACAAAAUGUGCAGGGCUGGUGGUACUCCAGGAUAGGUUUGAGAAUCUCUGCGAUAGAAAAAAGCAGUGGAGAUCCAAGCUCCCACAUCAGACAAUACAUUUCCGUAGCCACUGAUCCACACUGAUUAUAAAGGCAAGUAAGUAUUAUAGACAAUCAGCAACAUUGAAGACUGGGAGCGACACUGAGGAUGAUGGUCAUGACUCUUAAUCAUGACUCUGAUCCAAAGAUUAGAGAGCUGAGGAAAAACAGACAUCCUGAAACAUCCUGAAAACAAGAGCAGUACUUGCUUCUAUGUUGUUUUCAGAAAGAAGGUUGAGAUGAUGGACUUUGGCUGCACUGACCAUUUCAUGAAAUCCCACUAUAAGAAAUUCAUAGAAAAAAGCUGUGGAGAUCCAAACUCCCACAUCGGACAAAACAUUUCCGUAGCCACUGAGACACACUGAUUAUAAAGGUAAGUAAUUAGGACUAAACAAUCAGCACAAGUGUGCAUCAGUGAGCAACAACGAGGACUCUGGGAGUGACAAUGAGGAUGAUGGGAAUAACUUUUAAUCAUCUGACCUCUGAUCCAAAGAUCAGAGAGAUGUGGAGAAAAAAUAGCAACAUCCCGACGUAGAGUAUUACUUGUUUCUACUUUUCCUAGAGAAGUUUGAGAUGAUGGACUUUGGCUGCACUUACCAUUUCAUGAAAUCCCACUAUGAGACAUUCCUAGGUAUGCACUGGAUUUUAACUGGGAAGACUGAAUCUGAACCAGUCAAAUAACAUAUUCAUUUCUUGCAUUCCCAUAGAACAGACAGUGGUUCUCAAACCUGUCCUGGAGUGCCACCAGCCCUGCACAUUUUGUCUUCCUAUAUCUGACACACCCAUUUCAGGUCUAGUAGUCUCUACUAAUGAGCUCAUGAGUUGAAUCAGGUGUGAUAGAUGGAGAAGACAUACACAAUUUCCAGGGCUGGUGGUACUCCAGGACAGGUUUGAGAAUCACUGCCAUAAAAAAAGCUGUGGAGGUCCAAACUCCCACAUCAGACAAAACAUUUCCAUAGCCACUGAUCCACACUGGUAAGUAAGUAUUAUAAACAAUCAGCAAAAGUGUGCAUCAGUGAGCAACAACGAGGACUCUGGGAGUGACACUGAGGAUGAUGGGAAUGAUUCUUAAUCAUUUGACCUCUGAUCCAAAGGUGUGAGCGAAUAAAAAAAAUAAUACACAAAAUAAUUUUGUGUCCUUUAACGGACUUUAAGCACUAAUGGAUGACACAUACCAACACCGUCAUGAGGAAUGCCACCAACCAAGAUUGUUCCAGAAGGACUGCAGAGCUCACAUCAUGGGAAGCAGCCACAUUGACCUUGUAAAAUCACGCAAAGGUACAUGGUGAAGAUCUGCCUAGGGAACGUCUCAGGUUACUUGACGUAACCUUGGUUCCCUGAGAGGAGGAAACAAGAAACUUCGUGCUAGCUCACGCUUUGGGGAAAACUACUUUUCUCCGAAAUCCUGAAGCCUGACUGAAUCAUGCUAUUGCAUUGCAAUAGCCAAUGGCACUUGAGCCGUGAAAUCUCAGAAUUUUUCGACUAACAAAUACUGGUGUAGCUCUGUUAAGCUGCACCAGACAGUGCAAAUAAACAACCUAUCAAGAGCGAGAAAGCCAAAGAGGCUGGGCUAGUGCUACUGUGGGUUAUAUCCUCACGGCUCUGUCUACGUCAUGACGCGACUUUGUUAUUAUAUUUUCUUGACCUAUCUGGCUGGCACUGCGAUAAUCCACUAGUGCAUAGCACUGCCUCUGGUGGUCAGGAGGAAUGAAACAGAACAUCUCUCUGUGAGAUGAUGUGGCUUUCUACACAGAGUAUGGCACACACCAUGAUAAAAGCUAUGUUGAUUAGCAUUGAAGUAUAAAUAUACUUUACUAUCAUGAAAAUACCCAAGAAGGCUUGAAGAACUCCUAUAAACCAUAGUGUGUGUAUAUUAGUCAUGUUUAAUCAAUCAAAGCGUUUCAAUCUUUUGUUUAUUCAGCUACAGUGAUAGUAUGAUGCCCAAAGGGAUUUCCUGGAAUGACAUGCAUUAUAUCAUACUUGUGUAUUUGGAGUUUCUGCGUUAAUUAUUUUCAAUUAUCAUGUGAGAAGAGACCACAGAAUGCCCAGGGAACACUGAACUCAAUCUUUUGAUUAACCUGUCAGUGUAUACUUUGCGAUUACUGACAAACUAACUGUAUGUUAUUCUACUUAUUAUGGCCCUUAUGGACAUGAAAUAUUGACCUGAAUGUAAGAUGUUUCAUUUUAUUUCAGUUUUGUUUUGCUUUGGUCACAAUUUGUCUAAACUGUUCUAAAUUUACUGACACACCAAGGUUGGAACAGGCCACAAAGGCAUCCUACAACAGGACAGGUUCCAAAAGUAAAAUCACAUGUUCUCCAAAUAGAAAUAGAUUUUUUAACCCUAAGUAAACUUUAGUAGACGCACAUAAUUAAAUAGUCAAAUUCCAGUUGAAGAGCUACACUCCUUUUGAAUUCUGAAAAGCAAGAUCUGUAUAAAGACAGCACUUGAAUGGACAAAAACACUAAAUUAUGCUAAAAUGCCUGUUUUGUUGAGUAUCUUAGCAAGCACAAUUAAACGAGUUAAAUGAAGUCUUAAAUGAACAUAAAGAUGUGAUGUCUGUCAUUAAUGUUAAUCAAAGAACAAACAAAAACUACAAAAUCACUCACUGCUCUUGACUGAAUAACAUUUGUAGCUUUAAUAAGGAUUCAUCUAUAUUUAAUUUAUAAUUUAUGAUGUGAAGACUGUGAAGUGUUUGAUAACUUUAUUCAAUUUUUGUAUAUCCUACCUGUUAGACCUAUAAGCACUGUUUACAAGGUUACAUGGGUCAAACACAACGAAAACAGUAACUUUUUGUGCAUUUUGACAGGGCUAGUAAAAAUCUGAACUGGUCUGACAGGGCCAGUAAAAACAAUUGAAUGCCCAUAAUUAAUGGCUGAAACUAAAAAAACAAAAAACAAUUUCAUAAAGACAUAAGUAGCAGUAUUGGUAUCAGUGAUGCCUUCUUUCAUA